AUGCAAGAGUGCUUCAAUCCGCCAAUUGUAGUACCUGUCGCAAGGAGGGCUCUCCCAAUAAUAAUGAUGGAACAGGAAAUAAUGGAAGCUAUCUACGAAAAUUCCGUUGUAAUUCUGUGUGGAGAAACAGGCUGUGGUAAAACUACUCAGGUCCCACAGUUGUAUGAAGCUAGCUUUGGUAUGAGCAAUCCAGUUGACAGAAAAGGGAUUAUUGGUAUCACCCAACCACGGCGUGUUGCUGUUCUUGCCACAGCUAGGAGAGUUUCGUAUGAGCUAGGACUUAAGCUGGUUUUCAAGUUAGGCAUGAUAAAAUGGUGA
rnacentral:rRNA from 1 species